rnacentral:lncRNA from 1 species
UUCGCCUCAUCGCUGCCUCUCCUCCCUCAUUCUCUCGCAGUCGCCGCCUCUUUCCGUCACGGCGGCGUUCUUUCUCCUUUCUUCUCCACACAUGACACAUCAUCAGCACCACCUCGCCGUCUCGCCUUCAUUUCGUCUUUAAUGCUUUCCUUUCAUCUUUAAUGUUGUGUUUAUUACUAAAAUUUAUUGACGAACAAAU